CUGUAAUUAUUCUGCCUAAUGAUCUAGAAGAGCAAAAUAUUGCAAAACCAAUUACAGAAAAAGAAGCAAACCUUAAGCAACAAGAUAUCAACAAAGGAAAUAAAAGUUUUAAGCCCUCUUUUAUCUGGAAAUGGAAAUUUCAAGCAAAAGGCAAAACAUAUAAAAAUUGGAAAACUUAGACAAACUUUUUCCUUAUUCAUUCUUUUCACAUAGUACAUGACACCUAUCAUUUACUCAAAACUGAAACCAAAGAACCAGACCUUAAUAUGUUCUUGUUCUGAUAGAGGCCUUGACAUGUCUUUUAAGCUAAAGUAUUUGGCUACAAAUUCAGUCACCAUAAUUGGCUCAAAG
rnacentral:misc_RNA from 1 species